UACGGGGGGGGCAAGCGCUGUUCGGAAUUACUGGGCGUAAAGGGCUCGUAGGCGGCCAACUAAGUCAGACGUGAAAUCCCUCGGCUUAACCGGGGAACUGCAUCUGAUACUGGAUGGCUUGAGUUUGGGAGAGGGAUGCGGAAUUCCAGGUGUAGCGGUGAAAUGCGUAGAUAUCUGGAGGAACACCGGUGGCGAAGGCGGCAUCCUGGACCAACACUGACACUGAUGAGCGAAAGCCAGGGGAGCAAACGGG
rnacentral:rRNA from 1 species